CUUCUGGUGAUGAGACCUUUGUCCAGUUCUGCUACUGAAUUUAAACGAUGACAGUUUGGAGAUCUGAAGAGG
ensembl:snoRNA